UGCCCCAUGGCUGAGUUGGUUACAGCGUCCGACUGUUAAGAGCUUUAGCUCGAAGCACAUCGGAAGGUCGUGAGUUCAACCCUCACUGGGGCAG